UACAGAGGGUGCAAGCGUUGUCCGGAUUUAUUGGGCGUAAAGAGCGUGUAGGCGGCCAAGCAGGUCCGCUGUGAAAACUCGAGGCUCAACCUCGAGACGUCGGUGGAAACCGUUUGGCUAGAGUCCGGAAGAGGAGAGUGGAAUUCCCGGUGUAGCGGUGAAAUGCGCAGAUAUCAGGAGGAACACCAAUAGCGAAGGCAGCUCGCUGGGACGGUAUUGACGCUAAGGCGCGAAAGCGUGGGGAGCAAACAGG
rnacentral:rRNA from 1 species